GACACCCCCAAACCCUAAGGUGAGAGAGUACUGGCUUACGCCCUGUCCCUAUCUCAUAUGGUGUUUAUUUAUAGACUUAUUUAAAACUUUAUUCAGUAAAUAGCAAGCUGACUUGAGUGCAUAUCCUUACAAUGAGAUCUGUCCAUCAUGGACCGAACCAUAUCUAAUAGGAUUUGAUUCCUCCUUUUUGAGAUACCAUUAUGCUGUGGUAUCUCGAGGGGUCCACUGUGAGAGAAUCCCAUUCUCUUCUAGGUAUGCUAGUAACUCACUGGAGAGGUAUUCACCUUCUCGGUC
rnacentral:lncRNA from 1 species